CCUGUUUCCUUUGGGGAAAAAUAGCAAUGAAGCAGCCACACAAAGGCUUCUUCCUCCUACCUAUACCGCCGGCCCUUUGAUUCCUUCAUUCCGUCUGACUGGGUAUUCCGGCAGCGGGAGCUUGAAGGUCGAGAAACAGAUCCAUUGGUGGUAUGAGCUAUACACAUGGACAACAAGACAUGGAAUAACAAUUGGUAUCAUCAAGAAAGCAUUUUACAAAGAACACUUCUGCUACAUCAGUGGUCAAGAUAUAUGCAGACGACAAGGAUAUGUGUGGCAUUGAGCUUCGUCUAGCUAGACCUGUGUGUGAAUUUUAUGUGAGCAGCUUUGCCAGUCGGAAUUAACUCAAAUUGAGCCAAGGAGAAGAUGUAAAUCAGUGCAGGGUGGUGCAGCUAUGCAUGCAGGCUUUCUCUUCAUGGCCGGAUGGCAGUGGCAUUUGAUGUAGCUAGCUCUCAAAACUGUUGAUCUGUCCUUGUAUGUGGGCUCAGGAAAGGUAAGGUUGUCCAGCUUAACUAGUGCCGCUUCUUGGUGGCUCCUGGGUGUGUGUGUGGGCAAACGAUGAAGGCAUUAUUAUGAGGCCAAUCCCUAUAUGUGUGUGCAGUUACGACUGUAGGGACAUGUGCAGUUACGACACAUCUGAGCAUGGUCAGGUAUUUGUACACAUCUAACCAUACAGUGGUAGAUAACGAUGGGAUAUUUAGCACAACCCCCGUUGUCUGUUAGUUCACUAGGGCAUAGACAUCUUCGACCUAAGAUUGAGGCAAUUUGUUGCCUAGUUGGGGCCUACUACAACC